CGGGGUGAGUAAUGCUGGGAAACUGCCUGAUGGAGGGGGAUAACUACUGGAAACGGUAGCUAAUACCGCAUAACGUCGCAAGACCAAAGUGGGGGACCUUCGGGCCUCAUGCCAUAAGAUGUGCCCAGAUGGGAUUAGCUAGUAGGUGGGGUAACGGCUCACCUAGGCGACGAUCCCUAGCUGGUCUGAGAGGAUGACCAGCCACACUGGAACUGAGACACGGUCCAG
rnacentral:rRNA from 1 species